UUAAAUUAUCACCCUAAUUAUAGUUCUCCAAUGAUAUGAAAUGUGUACUACAUUUUAGUUCGACUUGUAUCUAACAAUCAUCCCUGUUGCCCCCAAUUUUUUAGUUAAUUCAUACAACUGCUUAUUGCUCUAUAAUUUCUAUUAAUUAUUUAUAUAUGUUAUUUUGUGUCAUCCAGGGAACAAGUGAUCUAUAUGUUGUCAUACAACUGGAUUCUCAUACGGCUAAAAGCGAUAUCAAAUGGGGGACAAAAAAAAGGCAUCAUUUAAUAUCAAGCAGCCUCCAAACCAAUAUUUACAGCACUACACUCGCGUGUGAAAUUUGGGGCAAUCUUUUUAAAGACACAGUUCAUAAUGAAUUGAAUGUAGGUCCAUAUCUUGUUUUCUUGCAAUGUUGAAUCUAAUUUAAGUGUUACAUGCUUUUGAAUUAUUGUUUAUGCUCACCUGCUCCUCUUUAUCCAUUUGCAGUUGGAGGUGGCUUUAAUUUGAAGAAAUGGUAANUAUUGGGCGCUGUAAAUAAAUAUUGGGAGGCAUCUAGAUUAAUUCAUGGCUNAGGUAUAAAUUUUAAAAUUAUGCAUCAUAUACUUUGACUUGAUUUUUGCUAUUAAUGGAAUCAAAAGGAGUUUCAAGUUCGUUUACCUUUCACUCAAUUCAGUACUUUCUUUGCUUCCGAAUGCAUACUUGUUAGUUGUCGCAUUCAUGUUGAUGACCAGUUUGUUUUCCCUUAAUUCUAUUACAACAUUUUUGGCAAGAGACUAUUAUGAUAUUCUUGGUGUGAGUAAGAAAGCACGUUCUUCUGAAAUAAAGAAAGCUUACUAUGGGGUAAGUUUUCCCUUGUCAUUGCCAUUGUCAGUGAACUAUUAAUGGUUUCUAAAUUUUUUCUGAGAUUUGUGGUUCAAUUUGAUUGUUUUUUUUAUCCCCUGAUUCUAAGCCAUCAUAUGUUAGAGAACUUCUAAUAAUUUUUUAAAUUUUCUUUAAAUAUUUUAUUUGUCCAUCUAUAUUGAAAUGUGUUUUAACUCAAUCUUUUUUUAAUUUUUUAUUCAGGCAUUGCAUGAGGUUAUAGGCGCAAGUGUCUACUUGGUCAGGAACUGUUACAAAAUGUAGAAGUAAUUCUUUGUAUUUUUUCUUGUAGUGAAGGAAUUGUGUUUUUUCUUGUAGUGAAGGAUAAUUUAUUUAUUAAUUUU